GCACGUCCUGCCCCCCGCGAUGCGCGAUCCACCCCAGGCAAACAAACCUCCGCACAUCACGCCGCUAAACGCAUCAUCCCCUACCCCCAACUACGCCCCGCCUCCCUCCCCACCGUCGUGCUCCCCUCUCCCCACGGACGCCCUCCCCGCCUCCGCUGCUGCCCGCGCAACAGACGCCAUCGUUGCGGUCGCCGAUCCGCUCAAGACCCCAAAGCACGUCGCAGGGACUUGGAAGGCCACCACGGAGCUGACGCCGCUCCCUCCGGUCCUGCUGCACCAAGGAAAAGCGGAUCGAGUGGGGCGCGGAAGGAGCCGAGGUCGGCAUGCCGCCGUCGCGUGGGCGUGUCGGCGGCAAACAGGGUGUCCCCCAAGAACCGGUCGUGGGCCAAGAAGACGAUGAUGUCCCACGCAGACGUCGCACAAGUUCCUGGUGGCAGCAUGAUGAGUGGGCUCAAGCAGCGACCCGGCGUCAGCUUGACGGCGUGGACUGUCAGGAUAUCAUCCUGAUGUGUGGUGAUCAAUUCAGUCAUGGUGAGAAGAUGAGCUCUGCUAUACUCAAAAGUGUGCACCACAAAGGAACGAGAAACUCUGAAACUGUACAUGGGUCAGUGAUCUAUGGACCAGUUACAUUUCACUUGAUCUUUUUUUAUCUUUCAAGGAUACCAGCAGUUGGUUUCGUUUUCAAACUAAUUAGGUCUGGUCUGGCACAACUAUAUUUCAACGGAGGUAGGAGACACUCAUGAGGCAAGAUCACUUCACAAGGGCUGUUAUAGCAAAGAAAAUCGCUAGGUCUGCAAUUCUGGAUCAAAGAGAAAAGAUCCAAAUUCGUUGAUGGAGUUAGAGCUUCCGUACAGCAGAGUCUUAGCUGCUGGUCACACUUUAACCACACGUCAAUUGCACGAGUGGUGCGGCGCCAUCCUGUACCACAAAUCAUGCGAAGAAUGAUGGGUGGUGUAAUCCUAUGCUAGCUAUAGUGCUAGACUGAUUUCAGAAACUCUUGGAGCUCAUCUUUUGGCCUGAAACACCAAGAACUAACCUGCCACCGCACUGACUACUGAUUAAUACAAAGGAGUUCAUUUGAUCCAUCUGAUAAAAUACCUAUUGGCGAAUAAGCAUGAAAAGUAAUCACCCACUCUUUCCGCAGUGGAAUUCGGCCAUGAUGUUAAGAAGUUCAGUGUAGGCAGGAGAAAAAAAUCUUGGUAAGCUACAAUCUUCUGAUCACAAUCUUACUUUUUUUAUUACUCUUAUUAGUGCUUCCGUUACUUUCUACUGAAUAUGCUCAAUGGGCUAGGUCCCUUUUUAGUAAGUUAUUAUGUAUAAUGGGGGAUUACUUGAUUUGCUCAUCCUUAUCUGGUUAGCGAUCCCGUGCAAACUCAAGUGAUAAUAUGUGCAUGUUGUCUUUUUAGUCCUAUAAAUUUAAUAAGCCAACACCUUUCAUUUAAACAAAGUUGAGAUCACACAUCAAUUUUUGACCUAGAGCCAUUUCAUUGCCAAUAACUAUAAGAGCAGCUUUUGCAUGGUAAUUGAUAGCUCUUCCUCUCAGGUAUGUUCUCUUUUUAGCAUAAUCAUAUCCUAGUGUGUUGUAUAUUCUUUUCUCUAGUGAGGGUCUAUUGCAUGACCAAUUCAUUUCUCCCUUCUAUCUGAUUGCCAGACUGCUGACGACUUUCCGAUAAUUUGUAUGUCUUUUUCGACUGGCCAUUAGUUUCUGAAAUUAAGGUACUGUGAUUUGGGAGGAAUAGAUGUGUACACACUGUUGUUACAUUGCAGGAGGGUGAUUUGUAGUCAUUUUCCUAUUGUGUAUGCUCUGUUCUACAUGUUCAGAUUGUCCUUUAGCAGCAAUAGGUCUGUGCUUUUUCUUGGAUCUGAUAGUGGACGAGAUUGGAUGUUGGGUUGUGGCUGGAGCUAGCCACCUUGUAUCCCGCGAGUAGUCGCCAUGCCGCUCGCUUUUUCUUUCUUUUCCUUGCUUUGGUCUGCAGAUUUUUCUGUCGAUCUAUGUACAGUUUGGCUGUCAGCCGCUCCUUCUGAAUGAAUCACGCAGCUCUCCUGCGUUUCCUUCAAAAAAUAGGUCUGUGCUUUUUAACUGUGUUUUAGUUGUUCAUUUUGAAUUGCAGCAAAAAUGUCAUGUUUAAUAAUCCUCCAGCAGAGUAGUAAUCUUUAGAGGUUCGGUAGUUAACUCUUGCAUUUCGGAUACUGUAGAGGAGUAUGUUCAUAUGGUCAAGGAUGGUAUCAUCGACCCUGUGAAAGUGAUCCAAACUACACUUCAAAAUGCAGCAAGAACAAGUACUCUGAUGAUGGCAAGAAGCAUAAUGUUAAAUGAACUGGGUAAUGUUGAGGUUGAUGAUAGCUUGCUUGUUGUACAAAGCCAUGAAACUGGAUUCAGAAAUAAGAAAUGGUCGCUCGACGACGGCGGUGGCGGGCACCGUGGCGUGGACGACAGGCUCGCCGGCAUGAAUUGACCCCUUCCGCCGCCCUACGCCCCACUAGCUCGGCGUUCACCUCCACAGACGCCUACUGGCACACGAACUUCACCAGAAUUCACUUGCAAGAGAUUAAUGUGUUUGGGGAACUAUAUAUUGGAAAAGUGUGUAUUUUUGCAAGAGAAUAUAUAAUUGAUGCAACUUA